AUCUGCGAUGCUAUGGCUUUGAUGUUCCCCAUAGAAGGUGAGAUAUUUGAUUUCAUCUAACUUUGCAUUAAAUUAUUUUUCAUCUGCAUGUCUCUUCCUCAUUUCCGUUGUAUCGCUGAACAAAAGCUGCUUUAAAGAUUUAUUUAGACAGCUGCCUCUUUGCCAGGAACGUGCUCACGUAGGGAGAUCUAUGCACGUGUUAAUGCACACAGGCAUUUAUGAGAGAGUUACUAGAACUAAUUGUAUCAGCAAUUUAUCUGUUACCUUUGACCUAAAUAGAGCCUGCACCUCUUCCCAGACAGAUAAUUAGCUCUGCCGCUUCAUGUCAAGAUUAUCUAUUUAUCAGCAAAAAACAAUUUCGUGUAAUGCUGCUUUUGCUCAUGGAUUUCCUUUUACGCACAGUAACAUCUCUUCCAAGGGAAAGGCAAUGUGCGCUUCAAACAAUAGCAGUCAGCCCCUGGUGGCUUAUAAUGUUCUUCUGACAUGAAAGAGUGGCCAUGGCUAAAAACACAGUGACCCAUAGGACUGUUUGUUGUCCAUAGAGAUGAGUACGUUUUCAUUUACAGUCUGCUAACUACAACAAGGGGUAUCUUUUGUAAGAGGAAGAUGUUGCAAGUGUUACUAUGGUAUGUGGGUAUGUAAGUUCCUCUUAUAAGUAGAGGAUUAAAUAGCUCAUAUGAGUUUGAGAUCUCACUUCAUGAGAAGACUGACAAUUACGGAUGAAAUUAAUUGAGGAAAUGACUACUGGAAGAGUCCAUGGUUCCAAUUUGUUGUUGAUUGGUUGCAUUCUCAAAAGCACAUAUAUGUUAGACAUGCAAUGCCCAAUUCAACUGUGUUGGGAAGUAUAGCUAAAUGGUAGCUAUUUCUAUUGAAGUCUAUUGAAAGGGUCUUUGAUGAUUAUAAGAGGGCUGCAGGUUUGUAGUUUAGCAUCAUGUGCUCUUUUUUUGCAUGAGGACUUUAGACCAUGUUACAAUGAAGAAAGACCUCAUGAUAUGCCACCCUUUGAUCUUGGGUUUCCCAGACUUUACAAGAGUAAAUCAAUUGGUAUGAGCUUUAGACUUAAAGGGAGAGUGAGUCUCAAGAGACAGAGAGAGAGAGAGAGAGAGAGAGAGAGAGAGAGAGAGAGAGAGAGAGAGAGGAGAAAAAUCAGAUGCAGAGUGAUAGAGGAAAACACAUGAUGUUGACAUCUAUCAUCUAUACUUCACAGAUCCAAGCGUGGGUGAGUCUGCGUACAUAUAUUAUUACACACAAAUAAGUAAGAUGAGAAGCAUCCUCUUAGUCAAUAAGAUUGCUGACCUUGAUCGUCAGGAACAGACAGAAUUGCUUUUCCAACCAAACAGAAAAAUAUAUAUGGAACAUGAGAAAUAAA